UCCUGCAUUCGUAAGUGGUCACAGACUGCCCGUGUUCUGGUCAUUGGUAGUGCAGGCACAGGAAAUGUGGAAAGGUUGCCCCACAUUUGAAAGGUCCACAUCCUCCCCUUCCAGUUCCGGGAGCCCUCCCACA
ensembl:snoRNA SNORA71 Small nucleolar RNA SNORA71